ACGUAGGUCACAAGCGUUGUCCGGAAUUACUGGGUGUAAAGGGGGCGCAGGCGGGACAACAAGUUGGAAGUGAAAUCCAUGGGCUCAACCCAUGAACUGCUUUCAAAACUGUUUUUCUUGAGUAGUGCAGAGGUAGGCGGAAUUCCCGGUGUAGCGGUGGAAUGCGUAGAUAUCGGGAGGAACACCAGUGGCGAAGGCGGCCUACUGGGCACCAACUGACGCUGAGGCUCGAAAGUGUGGGUAGCAAACAG
rnacentral:rRNA from 1 species